AGAGGACAUAUCGUGGACGAAGAGCAUGCUUCCAGCUUUCGGGGAGAAACUUGCUUGACCCGCUGUGGAUCUCCGAGCCACUCCACCCCCGGUGGCUCUGGGGAAUGGAUCGGCCCAGGUACACAGGAUACCAUCAGUGGCGUGUGGACGCUCACACGAACGAGAGGUGCAGACACUUGGGAUCGCAUGAGCGGAGGCUGCCAGAUUCUGAGAAUCAUAGCUUCCGGGCCUCAUUUCCCGACGGCCGCUGUGGCAGUGCCCUGUCCCCGCCCCCUACCCCGCCCCCGCCCCGGUGCUUCCCCCUCCACCGCUUCCUCCCUCCAGAGGCGAGCGAGCGGUAGUCACGGCUUCUGCUGUUCCUCCUCUGUCAUAGUUUCCACGUCUCUUAACAAGAUGUUUACGCCUCUGGCUUUUGAUUGAUCAGUGUUACCCACAAUGCCAUUCUCUGUCGACUUCCUGCCCUGGAAGAUGAGGAUUUGAUUCCUACCACCCUCUUCUGAUGUAAUGAUACCACUCAACCUCCCGGGGCUUCAGUUUCCACAUCCGUAGAUGAGAAUCAUAACUGUACCUCGUAAGUUUGCUUGAGGAGCAAAUGAAGUCAUUCACGUGACAUCCUUAGAACAGGGCCUUGGCUGUUGUUAUAAUCAUCUUCAUCAUUUCUGGUUUCUCUAUUAGUUAUCUUUCUAACUCUCAGUAACAAAGAUCUCCGUUUCUUCUUAACUUUUCUCCCCCUUGACCUGGAAUGUGGGCAUGGCCGUCAUUAGCCGUUGAGGACAGCAUCCGUGGGUGACACUGCAGCAGGACAAAAGGGCCAACUGGGCUGUCACCAAGAAAGAUCCAGAAUUCGGCCUGGUUUGAGCCGCCGUUACUUUAGGUAUCUGCCACAGCAGUGGAACUAAUUGCCUAGGCUUUUACUUUUUCCCCAAUAUUUAAUUAUGAAAACUUUCAAAAAAAGUUUUGAAAAGUUAAAUGCAUUUUACCAUAACACGCAUAUACGCCUCAUCUAGAUUCUGCAAUUGUUAACAUUUCUCCGUAUUUGCCUUAUCGUAUACCUGUCUUUCCCUCUAUUGCUUCAUCAAUCCAUAUGGUUUCUUUGAUGGAUUUUUAAAUAAGUUAUAAUGAAGUAUUUGAAAGCAGACACCAGUACUCUUUUUUUUGGCCCACAAUGCAUGUGGGAUCUUAGUUCCCCCACCAGAGAUGGAACCUGUGCCCCUGCAGUGGAACACUGAACCACCAGGGAAGUCCCCGGACACCAGUACUCUUAACCCUUAAACACUUUAGCAUUCAUGUCACUAACUAGAGUUCAAUGUUUACAGUUCAAAAGUGAGGUAAAAUUUGCAUACAGUGACAUGCACACAUUUUAAACAUGUUUGCAGAGUUUUGACUAGUUCAUAUACUGUGCAGUACAAACCCCUAUUAAGGUAAAGAACGCUUCCAUCAUCCCAUAAAGUUCCCUUUUAAAGUUCCCAUAAAGUUUCCAGCCCCCAAAGCAAUCAUGGUUCUAAUAUUUUUAUACAUUUACCAUUAAAUUAUCAAGGUUGAUACAUGUAUGUUCUGGGAGUGAUCUUAAUUCAAUUUUGUGGGUUAGUAGCUAGAGCUGAAAAAAAUUCACUGUUCCCUUCUACAGAAUAUGGGACCAUAGUCAACACCAUGAUGCCAGCAGUGCCUGGGACUGGAGAGGAUGAGGGUCUUUCAGUGUUGACAGCCAGGACCAUUCUGCUGAAGGCGGUGGUCUGAGCACUGAAUGAGCUAUACUGUUAAAGUUCCUGUGCCAUCUCGUGUGCAUCACUUAUCCUGGAUGUUCUGCAUCAGAUGUUAUUGGCUGAAGUAAGGGAAGAACAAAUUCCAAACACCUUAAAAAUAAAAGCCUUUAUUAUUUGACAAAACAACUAGUUCCACCAAGGUAGGGAGGCUCUACAGAGGUCAGUGCCUCAGUUGAAUGGUAUCCUCAUGGACUAAGAUUCCCUGGCAUGUUGGCAGUGUCAUCCCUCAAGGUGGCAAUAUGGCUGCCACUGUUCCAGCCUUCAUUUCCUAAAGAUACAAAACAUUACAACUUUACACUUCUUUUUGCUAAAAUCCUACUCCACCCACUUUUCCCCCAUAUUUUCAGCAUUUAGCCUCUCUGAUUUUGCUCUUGGUACCAACCACGGGAAUUCUUGACCUUGGCUUUGAGGCUGUUGGCUCUUCUAAGUGCCAGUGAAAAAAAAUUACAGAAAGAUAAGUGGAAAAAGUAUCUUUCCUUGCAGCUUCAGAAAAUCAGACACUCCUCAGCAUCAUUAAAUCCCUCGUACAAAUAUUCUUUGUAGGCUAUAGGGGCUUCAGAGGUGAUUAGAACAUCCCAUGAAAGAAAAUUUUAACUUUCCAAAGUCUGUAAUUCUGAUUUCUUGUCCUACUUAAUAAUUUAUUGUCCUGGGAAUAAUACUUAAAUUGGCAUGUAGAUUCUGAAAAAGAAAUAUUUAUGAGCUUUUUCUUUGUUAAACCAGAAGAAUGUUAUUACCACCCACUCUUCUCUCACAUGGGUGGAGGGGAAAACGAAACAUAGACUCUCUUAUGAUUUUGCUUUAGACUAAGAGUCUGAAAGAAUCGAAUUCCAAGGCAAUUAAUGCCUCCUCACAUUGCCCCACUUUCUGUGCGAGGCAGAAGAGGGAAGUUUCUUUCCCGUGCACUACUUUUUAAAGAAAAAAGUUUACCCCAGAAACCUCCCGCCACCCACUCCCCAGCUGACUUCCCCUCACAUUAUCUUGGCCAACAGUGUGUCACAGCCCGUUUCAGAACUAAUCACUAACAGAAAGGCUGGAGAGCUGUGACCGGCUUAGACCACUUUUUCUGAACACAUGGACAGGGCUAAUAAACAAGCAAAUAAAAUCAGGGCUCUCUCUACAAAGAAGAAGGAAGGGACUGCCCUGGUGGCACAGUGGUUAAGAAUCCGCCUGCCAAUGCAGGGGACAUGGGGUCGAGCACUGGUCCAGGAAGAUCCCACAUGCCACGGAGCAACUAAGCCCGUGCGUCACAACUACUGAAGCCUGCGCUCUAGAGCCCGUGCGUCACAACUACUGAAGCCCGCGUGCCUAGAGCCCAAUCUCCGCAACAAGAGAAGCCACUGCAAUGAGAAGCCCACGCACUGCAACGAAGAGUAGCCCCCGCUCGCCGCAACUAGAGAAAGCCCGCGCGCAGCAACAAAGACUCAAUGCAGCCAAAAAUAAAU